rnacentral:rRNA from 1 species
UACGGAGGGUCCGAGCGUUAAUCGGAAUUACUGGGCGUAAAGCGCGCGUAGGCGGUUUGGUCAGUUGGAUGUGAAAGCCCCGGGCUUAACCUGGGAACUGCAUUCAAUACUGCCAGACUAGAGUACGAGAGAGGGGGGUAGAAUUUCUAGUGUAGCGGUGAAAUGCGUAGAUAUUAGAAGGAAUACCAGUGGCGAAGGCGGCCCCCUGGCUCGAUACUGACGCUGAGGUGCGAAAGCGUGGGGAGCAAAC